rnacentral:rRNA from 1 species
UACGUAGGGGGCAAGCGUUGUCCGGAUUUAUUGGGCGUAAAGAGCGUGUAGGCGGUUUGGUAGGUCCGCUGUGAAAACUCGAGGCUCAACCUCGAGACGCCGGUGGAAACCAUCAGGCUAGAGUACAGUAGGGGCAGAGGGAAUUUCCGGUGGAGCGGUGAAAUGCAUUGAGAUCGGAAAGAACACCAACGGCGAAAGCACUCUGCUGGGCCGACACUGACACUGAGAGACGAAAGCUAGGGGAGCAAAUGGG